rnacentral:rRNA from 1 species
GACGAACGCUGGCGGCGUGCUUAACACAUGCAAGUCGAACGGAAAGGCCCUGCUUUUGUUGUGUGCUCGAGUUGCGAACGGGUGAGUAACACGUGAGUAACCUGCCCUUUACUUUGGGAUAACUUCAGGAAACUAUGGCUAAUACCGGAUAGUAGCUCCUGCUGCAUGAUGUGUGUUUGAAAGUUUCGGUGGUUGCGGAUGGACUCGCGGCUUAUCUGCUUUUUGUUGUGGUAGUGGCUUACCAAGGCUUGGACGGGUAGCCGGCCUGAGAGGGUGACCGGGCACAUAGGGACUGAGGUACGGGCAAGACGGAUACGGGAGGAAGGAGUGGGGAAUAGUGCACAAUGGGCGGAAGCCGUAAGGAGGAACGCCGCGUGCGAGAGGACUGUCUUAGGGGUGGAAACAGCUUGCGCCUGGGAAGAAGCGUGAGUGACGGUAAUGGGUAAAGAAGCAACGGCUAACUACGUG